AAUAAGCGGAGGAAAAGAAACCAACAGGGAUUGCCUCAGUAACGGCGAGUGAAGCGGCAAAAGCUCAGAUUUGAAAUCUGGCGUCUUCGGCGUCCGAGUUGUAAUCUGUAGAGGAUGCCUUUGGGUGGCCACCGGUCUAAGUCCCCUGGAACGGGGUGUCACAGAGGGUGAGAAUCCCGUAUGUGACCGGGAAGGCGCCCUAUACAUGGCUCCUUCGACGAGUCGAGUUGUUUGGGAAUGCAGCUCUAAAUGGGAGGUAAAUUCCUUCUAAAGCUAAAUACCGGCCAGAGACCGAUAGCGCACAAGUAGAGUGAUCGAAAGAUGAAAAGCACUUUGGAAAGAGAGUUAAAAAGCACGUGAAAUUGUUGAAAGGGAAGCGCUUGCAACCAGACUUGUUGGCGGUGUUCCGCCGGUCUUCUGACCGGUCUACUCACCGUCUGCAGGCCAGCAUCAUCUGGGGCCGCUGGAUAAAAGCGGAGGGAAUGUGGCUCCUCCGGGAGUGUUAUAGCCCUCUGUGUAAUACAGCGAGUCCCGGGUGAGGUCCGCGCUUCGGCUAGGAUGCUGGCGUAAUGGUCGUAAGCGGCCCGUCUUGAAACACGG
rnacentral:rRNA from 1 species